rnacentral:lncRNA from 10 species
CAGGGUGAUGCUGGGGGAGUCAGAGUCAGAGGAGAAGGCAAUGUGGUGAUGGAAGCAGAGACUGGAGUGAUGUACGUUGAAGAUGGAGGAAGGAGCCACCUGCCAAGAAACACAGGCAGCCAGUGGAAGCUGGAAAAGUAACAACAAACAUUCUCCUUGGACCCUCCAGGGAGGCUGACAGCUUUGCUUUAGCCUUGUGAGAGUAUGCUAAAGUUCUGACCUCCAGAAAUCAGGCUGACCUUGGAUGAAUCGUCCAUUGACUCUGAGCUCAGUUGAAUGCUGGACAUGAUUGUUAUUGUUAUCAUCCCUAAUUUACAAAUACUGAAACUAAGCCUCAUGGAGUGACCACUUGAAGAUCACAUAUC